UACGAAGGGGGCUAGUGUUGUUCGGAAUUACUGGGCGUAAAGCGCACGUAGGCGGAUAUUUAAGUCAGGGGUGAAAUCCCGGGGCUCAACCCCGGAACUGCCUUUGAUACUGGGUAUCUCGAGUCCGAGAGAGGUGAGUGGAAUUCCGAGUGUAGAGGUGAAAUUCGUAGAUAUUCGGAGGAACACCAGUGGCGAAGGCGGCUCACUGGCUCGGUACUGACGCUGAGGUGCGAAAGCGUGGGGAGCAAACAGG
rnacentral:rRNA from 1 species